rnacentral:rRNA from 1 species
UACGAAGGGUGCAAACGUUGCUCGGAAUUAUUGGGCGUAAAGCGCACGUAGGCGGCAUUACAAGUCGGGAUGUGAAAUCCCUCGGCUUAACCAAGGAAGUGCAUCCGAAACUGCAGUGCUUGAGUACUUAAGAGGAUCGCGGAAUUCCCGGUGUAGAGGUGAAAUUCGUAGAUAUCGGGAGGAACACCAGUGGCGAAGGCGGCGAUCUGGGAAGAUACUGACGCUGAGGUGCGAAAGCGUGGGGAGCAAACAGG